AACGAACGCUGGCGGCAUGCCUAAUACAUGCAAGUCGAACGAGAUCUUCGGAUCUAGUGGCGCACGGGUGCGUAACGCGUGGGAAUCUACCCUUCGGUUCGGAAUAACUCAGGGAAACUUGAGCUAAUACCGGAUGAUGACGUAAGUCCAAAGAUUUAUCGCCGAAGGAUGAGCCCGCGUAGGAUUAGCUUGUUGGUGAGGUAAAAGCUCACCAAGGCGACGAUCCUUAGCUGGUCUGAGAGGAUGAUCAGCCACACUGGGACUGAGACACGGCCCAGACUCCUACGGGAGGCAGCAGUAGGGAAUAUUGGACAAUGGGCGAAAGCCUGAUCCAGCAAUGCCGCGUGAGUGAUGAAGGCCUUAGGGUUGUAAAGCUCUUUUACCCGGGAUGAUAAUGACAGUACCGGGAGAAUAAGCCCCGGCUAACUCCGUGCCAGCCGCCGCUGUAAUAC
rnacentral:rRNA from 1 species